rnacentral:rRNA from 1 species
GUCUUUUUGAUUAUAAUUUAAGGUUUAAUCUGCUCAAUGAGGAAUUAAAUGGCCGCAGUAUUUUGACUGUGCAAAGGUAGCAUAAUAAUUAGUUUCUUAAUUAGGGACUUGUAUGAAUGAUUUGACAAGAGAAUUUCUGUCUCUUUUUAAUUUUAUGAAUUUAAUUUUUAAGUUAAAAUGCUUAAAUAUAUAUAAAAGACGAGAAGACCCCAUAGAGUUUUAUUUUUAAAAUAUUUUAGUAUUAUUAUAAAAGUAAAAAAUUAGUUGGGGUGACUAAAAGAUUAAAUUAACUCUUUUAAUUUAAAUCAUUAAUUUGUGAAUAAUAAGUCUAAUUUUAUUAAGUUUAAAUUAAAUUACCUUGGGGAUAACAGCGUAAUUUCUUUUUAGAGUUCUUAUCAAAUAAGAAGAUUUCGACCUCGAUGUUGGAUUAAAAUUUAUUUUAGGUGAAGAAGCUUAAAUAUUAAGUCUGUUCGACUUUUAAAAUUUUACA